UUUUUUUUUUUUUUAAUUUUUCGAGACAGGGUUUUUCUGUAUAGCCCUGGAACUCACUUUGUAGACCAGGCUGGCCUCGAACUCAGAAGUCUGCCUGCCUCUGCCUCCCGAGUGCAAAGGCGUGCGCCACCACGCCCGGCUCUACUUUUAACAAGGGUUCUUAAAUGCUUUAACAUCCCUUCUAGCCUACCACCCACCAGAGGUAGUGGAAAAGAAAGAUUAUUAGGAUAUGGGGGAACUGUACCUGUUUAGAAAUAGUUCUUUGAAGCAAAUCCAAUCUGCAUUGUUAGGAUAUCAGCAGUGGCAGCUUGAUCCAGAAGAAGCCAUGAGACUCUGUUAUAUGUUGUUUAGAAGUAGAUACUUGGGGCCAAUUUUAAUCUCAAAUUUUUAGGAUAGCAAACAAGAAUCAGCAGUGGUGGUAUGCACCAGCCAGGCCUCCGCUGAAUCUGAAACAGUCACCAGGAGUGACCAGAAAUAGCUGGGAUGACAGGAGAAGUUCAGAGAAGAUGAAAACUUGAGACAAAUGAAGCAUUACAAAGCUAGCUAUGCAAGCCAGAGGCUACUGUCCAUUGAGUCCUAUUUAUAAGCCCUCAAAACAUCAUGUGUCCUUCCAUGGGUCUUGCUUUAGUAAUACACCCCAUGAGUCUGUUCUCACACGAUGGUUUACAACCAUCUAACUUCAGUUCCAGGGGAACCAACACUCUCUUCUGGUUUCCACUUUCACCACACACAUAUGGUAUGCAGAUGUAUAUACAGGCAAAAUACCCAUACACUUAAAAAAAACAUUAUAGUACACUUCUUCUUAAUAACAACACUGAAUGUUUGGUGGGGACCAGGAGGCAGAAACAAACAGACAUCUGAGUUUGAGGUUAGCCUGGUCUACAUAGCAAGUUUGAGGACAUUCAAGAUCAUGAUUAGCAAACAAAUAAAAUCAUUAUAAAGGCUGGAAAAUCACUCUGUGACUAUAGCAAUCUAGUAAUCAAAAGACUACUUGAAACAUUUCAAAUUUAUUUUUCUUUUUAUUACAGAUACCUGCAUUACAACAAUAAAGAUUGUUGCCUAAGAUAAAUUUCCAAAGAUUGUUAUUUAAGACAAAUUUCCUUUUAUAUAGACAGAAGAGAACAUUUUAUUAACAUUUAUUUCUGCUUAAUUCUCCAAACAGGAUAGGUAAAUGGUGAGAAGUAUAUUAUAAUUACUGCUCACUUAUAGUGAAAAUUUCAUUUCCCUGGCAUUAAUUUGUAUAGGUAAGGUUACAAGUAUUUCCAAUUAUAUAGGAGAAAUUAGUGUGGUCAAAAUUGCCAGAGUAGGGCUGGAGAGAUGGUGAGCAGGUUAAGAAUGCAUUCUGCUCGGAGAGAGAACACAAGUUCAGUUUCUAAUGCCUAUGUUGGGUACACAUACUCGAAAUUAAAAAUAAAAAUAUAAAUUAUAUUUAAAAAUAUGUCUUGUGCAGGAAACCACAGCUGCUGUGGUUGUAUGCAGAUGCCCUAUUAUCUUCAGAACUCCAGAAGACACUGUUUCUUGCUAGCCAACAUUAUAGCAUUGUGGUGGGAGUAGGAUGGGGCUGGGGCUUGUUUUGAACCUCCACCCCAUCUGAGGAAGCAUGGGCAGUUGAUGGCUUCUGGAGAGUUGGGAUCUUUUAAGGGUAUGACCCUGGUAGGUAAACCACCAUAUGGUUGGAUAGACCCCACCUUGGGAGUAUAUGGGCAGUACAAGUUGGACUAAAUAGAUUAUUGAUGAAAAGAUAACAGGAAGUUGAGGGAGUAGGGAGAUAGAGGUAGGUCUGGGAGGAGGAGGGGUGAAAGGAUGAAUAUAAUCAAAAUAUAUUGUGUGAAAUUCUCAAAAACUAAAAGUAUUUAAAAAUAUUGAAUUCAUUUAAAAAGCUAUCAGUAUAUUCAAGUUGUUUUUACUUU
rnacentral:lncRNA from 1 species